UGGUGGUAAUAACAAACACUUAAAGCAUGCCCAUCAUGUAUUUAUUCUGCUAAAUGCUUUUUAUUUACAAAUUCCUGCAUUCCUCAGGACAACCCCAGGAGAAACUCCUUAGCUUGCAGGAGGCAAAGCAAGACACAGAGAGAUUAAAUAACUUGCCCAGAGUCACACAGCUAAAUCGAGGUGGAUUUGAACCCAGGCCAUGUGGCUCACAUUUAUUUGCUCACACAUUUACAGACAUACAUGCAUCCCCUCACAUUCACAAGUAAAAUCGCACACACACUUCACACUGCUCUGACCAACCUCCCUUCCUCAGCUCCUGUCACUGGCCAAAAAGGGAGUCUGGGAACCCGGCUCCAAAAGGGAGGUUCGCUCCAGAAGGGAUUUUCAGGGAUGGUUCAUGUCAAAACUUCAAAUAAUUCAUAAGAAACAAAGUUGCUAAUUCCCCCUGCCCCCUGAAUUUCACAUCUCCUUUUAUGAAACUUCACUCAUUUCAGCCAGAUGAUCGGUUCAGUGUGUAAUUAAAUGUGAGUCAGUGUGUCUGGCUUGGCAGAACUCUCCAGGCUUGUCAGCUUUCAGAAGAGGCCGCAUCCUUGGUUGGCAUGUUCCUGGACUGCAAGCAAGCACCAUGACAAAGCCAGAGGACAUUCAGACCCUCCUAGAACUCACAGUCCAGGGGACAGAGAUCCUUGAAAUUCUCUUCCUGGUCUGGCCAUACCAGUGGGUCCCUCUGGACAUGAGAGCCCCGGCUCCCCCUCCUCCACGGAGCCACAUCCACAUUCAACUCUGGAAUUGUCUGCUUUAACUUUUCCCCGACAAUCUGCAGAAAUGUGGGUCAGGUGACCUCCCGUUUGAAAUGUUGACAACUGCAACUUCUAAUAAAAUAAAAGCCUGUUUUCUAUCUUAUCCCUGCCAAAGACAUCAUGAAUGAUUGAUUGAUUGAUUUAAAGAAAUUAAAACAUGUCACAUAUUUUAUAAGCAACUUAACUGCCUGAACUGGAGUCUGGGUACCUGACAUAAAGAUUUCAGUUUUAAAUAUCGAAAUCAAUAUAAAGAAUGAAAAGAUGAAUAAUAAGCCCAAAUAAUUUCUUUUCUCUUACAGGACACUGAAAAUUUCUGGAGGCCCAGAUUUUCCAUGGUGAUAUCCAUGGUUUAAAAUAGGAGGAUAACACAUGAACUAAGUAUAAAAAGGACCACUGAUGCAGCCAAAGACACUAGGCCUAUUAUGAUGAAAAACGCUUACCCCAUUCCCACCUGCUCUCAGGCAUUCGGAACCCUCUGGACCAUGGCCCAUCCCUCCAGCCUCCUUUUCCCAACUGUCCAUUCACACUUGUCC